rnacentral:tRNA from 1 species
GCGGGAGUGCCGGAGCGGUCAAAAACGGGAUAGGCUAAGGACCUAUUGGCUUAGUGCCUGCGCAGGUUCGAACCCUGUCUCCCGCA